GCCACGGGGGGAAAGAUAGAGAAUUCUCCAGCCGCCAGACAAGAGUCGGUGAGCAACCGUGAAUCCACGCAGGCAAGCCCACGCGUCGUACAGGAACGUCCUCGAUAAUAACGAUCGCUGCAUCGGGCUGUUUACGCGAGAGAGACAGAGGGUGUGAUCGGAGGAGGGACAGAGAGGGAGA